GGUCCCAUAGCUCAGUUGGUCAGAGCGUCGUACUAAUAUUAUGAUAACCUCAUAACAUUAAGUAAUGCGAAGGCCGUGAGUUCAAGCCUCACUGGGACCA